AUGGGAUUUUUUUCCCCGUGGGCGGGGAUGGGGAUGGGGAUAGAUGUGGGGAGCCUAUCAUUGGGAUGGGGAUGGGAGUCCCAUACCAGCAUGGGUAAUCCACAUUGCCAGCUUGACGUGAGUGCAUCCUAA
rnacentral:rRNA from 1 species